ACGGCCACACCAUGGUGAAUAUACCGGUUCUCGAAGUCAAGCAACAUUGGGCACGGUCAGUACUUGGGUGGGUGACCACCUGGGAACACCGCUUGCCGU